rnacentral:rRNA from 1 species
UGGGGAAUAUUGGACAAUGGGCGAAAGCCUGAUCCAGCCAUGCCGCGUGUGUGAAGAAGGUCUUCGGAUUGUAAAGCACUUUAAGUUGGGAGGAAGGGCAGUAAGCGAAUACCUUGCUGUUUUGACGUUACCGACAGAAUAAGCACCGGCUAACUCUGUGCCAGCAGCCGCGGUAAUACAGAGGGUGCAAGCGUUAAUCGGAAUUACUGGGCGUAAAGCGCGCGUAGGUGGUUCGUUAAGUUGCAUGUGAAAGCCCCGGGCUCAACCUGGGAACUGCAUCCAAAACUGGCGAGCUAGAGUAGCGCAGUGGGUGGUGGAAUGUCCUGUGUGGCGGGGAAAUGCGUAAAUAUAGGAAGGAACACCAGUGGCGAAGGCGACCACCUGUGCUCAUACUGACACUGAGGUGCGAAAGCGUGGGGAGCAAACAGG